UUAGGAGGAAGUUUUUCCACACAGAGGGUGGUGACGCACUGGAACAGGUUGCCCAAGGAGGUUGUGGAUGCCCCAUCCCUGGAGGCAUUCAAGGCCAGGCUGGAUGUGGCUCUGGGCAGCCUGGUCUGGUGGUUGGCGACCCUGCACAUAGCAGGGGGGUUGAAACCCAAUGAUCAUUGUGGUCCUUUUCAACCCAAGUCAUUCUGUGAUUCUGUGAUUCUAUGAUUCUACAAUUCUAUGAAGACAGUGGAAGAUCUUUUAAGACAGCCACAAGAACGUAAGAUUUCUGUUUUCCAAAGAGGUCUUACAUUUCCAUGAUCAAAAGU
ensembl:lncRNA